rnacentral:tRNA from 1 species
GGGUCUGUGGCCUAGCCAGGAUAUGCUAUAAACGCCUAAAGGCGCCGGCCUCCGGAGCCGGAAAGCGAGGGUUCAAAUCCCUCCAGACCCGCCA